GAUGAACGCUGGCGGCGUGCCUAAUACAUGCAAGUCGAGCGAACGGACGAGAAGCUUGCUUCUCUGAUGUUAGCGGCGGACGGGUGAGUAACACGUGGAUAACCUACCUAUAAGACUGGGAUAACUUCGGGAAACCGGAGCUAAUACCGGAUAAUAUUUUGAACCGCAUGGUUCAAAAGUGAAAGACGGUCUUGCUGUCACUUAUAGAUGGAUCCGCGCUGCAUUAGCUAGUUGGUAAGGUAACGGCUUACCAAGGCAACGAUGCAUAGCCGACCUGAGAGGGUGAUCGGCCACACUGGAACUGAGACACGGUCCAGACCCCUACGGGAGGCAGCAGUAGGGAAUCUUCCGCAAUGGGCGAAAGCCUGACGGAGCAACGCCGCGUGAGUGAUGAAGGUCUUCGGAUCGUAAAACUCUGUUAUUAUGGAAGAACAUAUGUGUAAGUAACUGUGCACAUCUUGACGGUACCUAAUCAGAAAGCCACGGCUAACUACGUG
rnacentral:rRNA from 1 species